rnacentral:rRNA from 1 species
AGAAUGAACGCUGGCGGCGUGCCUAAUACAUGCAAGUCGUGCGGCAGCAUGCCCUUCGGGGUGAUGGCGAGCGGCGGACGGCUGAGUAACGCGUAGGAAUCUACCCCAAAGUGAGGAAUAACCUCGAGAAAUCGAGGCUAAUGCCGCAUAUGGUCUCCGGAUUAAAGGAUUUAUCCGCUUUGGGGAAGAGCCUGCGUAAGAUUAGCUAGUUGGUGAGGUAAUGGCUCACCAAGGCGACGAUCUUUAGCUGGUCUGAGAGGAUGACCAGCCAGACUGGAACUGAGACACGGUCCAGACUCCUA